rnacentral:rRNA from 1 species
GACGAACGCUGGCGGCGUGCCUAAUACAUGCAAGUAGAACGCUGAAGAGAGGAGCUUACUCUUCUUGGAUGAGUUGCGAACGGGUGAGUAACGCGUAGGUAACCUGCCUUGUAGCGGGGGAUAACUAUUGGAAACGAUAGCUAAUACCGCAUAACAAUGGAUGACACAUGUCAUUUAUUUGAAAGGGGCAAUUGCUCCACUACAAGAUGGACCUGCGUUGUAUUAGCUAGUAGGUGAGGUAAUGGCUCACCUAGGCGACGAUACAUAGCCGACCUGAGAGGGUGAUCGGCCACACUGGGACUGGGACACGGCCCAGACUCCUACGGGAGGCAGCAGUAGGGAAUCUUCGGCAAUAGGGGCAACCCUGACCGAGCAACGCCGCGUGAGUGAAGAAGGUUUUCGGAUCGUAAAGCUCUGUUGUAAGUCAAGAACGGGUGUGAGAGUGGAAAGUUCACACUGUGACGGUAGCUUACCAGAAAGGGACGGCUAACUACGUG